CCUAUGGGGUGCAGCAGGCGCGAAACCUCUGCAAUAGGCGAAAGCUUGACAGGGUUACUCUGAGUGAUUUCCGUUAAGGAGAUCUUUUGGCACCUCUAAAAAUGGUGCAGAAUAAGGGGUGGGCAAGUCUGGUGUCAGCCGCCGCGGUAAUACCAGCACCCCGAGUGGUCGGGACGUUUAUUGGGCCUAAAGCAUCCGUAGCCGGUUCUACAAGUCUUCCGUUAAAUCCACCUGCUUAACAGAUGGGCUGCGGAAGAUACUAUAGAGCUAGGAGGCGGGAGAGGCAAGCGGUACUCGAUGGGUAGGGGUAAAAUCCGUUGAUCCAUUGAAGACCACCAGUGGCGAAGGCGGCUUGCCAGAACGCGCUCGACGGUGAGGGAUGAAAGCUGGGGGAGCAAACCGGAUUAGAUACCCCCGUAGUCC
rnacentral:rRNA from 2 species